rnacentral:lncRNA from 1 species
GCAGCAUGAAAAAAGUCACAAAUAGCGUGAAUGGAGGGAUGACGGGAAGAACCCUUCGCAGUGAAUAUUGAGGCCCUCAACACGGGCCUAUUGCUGAAGCCCUGGGAGUCCAUGGGGGUUGGUGAGGCGCAAGUGAGCACAAACUUUCAGAGGAGUCCUGCAGUCUGGAGGAGUCCUUGAAGAAACCCGACUGUCAUGGAAACUAAGAAUGGAACGGGUAUGGGGGCCCAGCGUGAAGUGUCGGGAGGAAGUGGUCAGGGUACUAGAUGGUACAAGUGGAGAAUCAGUGAGCACAGAGAGAUUCCAUUGGCGAGUGAACUGGGAGGUGUUCCGUCCUCUUCAAUGAACAAAGAGGCACUACAGACACUGGACCCUAAGGCUCCAAAGGUUGGCUCCUGGCCUGGUCAGUCACAGAUAACUGAGCAGCAGGACAAAGCCGAGGAGGAAAAUGCAGCUUGAGGUGCAGCUUGCUGAUGCUCCAACAGAAUGGUUCCACAGCAACCUCACUCCAGAUCACCCAGGAACAUAUAAG